rnacentral:ncRNA from 2 species
CUAACCCAGAAAGCCACGGCAUACUACGUGCCAGCAGCCGCGGUAAUAUGUAGGUGACAAGCGUUGUUCGGAAUUAUGAGCGUAAAGCGCGCGCAGGCGGUUUCUUAAGUUUGAUGUGAAAGCCCCCGGCUCAACCGGGGAGGGUCAUUGGAAACUGGGAAACUUGAGUGCAGAAGAGGAGAGUGGAAUUCCACGUGUAGCGGUGAAAUGCGUAGAGAUGUGGAGGAACACCAGUGGCGAAGGCGACUCUCUGGUCUGUAACUGACGCUGAGGCGCGAAAGCGUGGGGAGCGAACAGGAUUAGAUACCCUGGUAGUCCACGCCGUUAACGAUGAGUGCUAAGUGUUAGAGGGUUUCCGCCCUUUAGUGCUGCAGCUAACGCAUUAAGCACUCCGCCUGGGGAGUACGGUCGCAAGACUGAAACUCAAAGGAAUUGACGGGGGCCCGCACAAGCGGUGGAGCAUGUGGUUUAAUUCGAAGCAACGCGAAGAACCUUACCAGGUCUUGACAUCCUUUGCCACUUCUAGAGAUAGAAGGUUCCCCUUCGGGGGACAAAGUGACAGGUGGUGCAUGGUUGUCGUCAGCUCGUGUCGUGAGAAAGGGGUUAAGUCCCGCAACGAGCGUCCGUUGUAACAAAGUAGCCGUUGAGUUUGAACCUGGGUCCGUUGUAACAAAGUAUCCGUAGAGGUUGAACCUGGGUCAGUUGUAACAAAGUAGCCGUUGAGUUUGAUCCUGGGUCAGUUGUAACAAAGUAGGCGUAGAAUUUGAUCCUGGGUCAGUUGUAACAAGGUAGCCGUAGAGUUUGAUCCUGGGUCAGUUGUAACAAGGUAGCCGUAGAGUUUGAUCCUGGGUCAGUCGUAACAAGGUAGCCGUAGAGUUUGAUCCUGGCUCAGUCGUAACAAGGUAGCCGUAGAGUUUGAUCCUGGCUCAGUCGUAACAAGGUAGCCGUAGAGUUUGAUCCUGGCUCAGUCGUAACAAGUAGCC